rnacentral:tRNA from 3 species
GGGCGUAUAGCUCAGCGGGAGAGCACUUCGUUGACAUCGAAGGGGUCCCAAGUUCGAUCCUUGGUACGCCCACCA